rnacentral:siRNA from 1 species
CUGUAAUAGGUCGCUGAAUACAG